rnacentral:rRNA from 1 species
UACAGAGGAUGCAAGCGUUAUCCGGAAUGAUUGGGCGUAAAGCGUCUGUAGGUGGCUUUUUAAGUCCGCCGUCAAAUCCCAGGGCUCAACUCUGGACAGGCGGUGGAAACUACCAAGCUGGAGUACGGUAGGGGCAGACGGAACUUCCGGUGGAGCGGUGAAAUGCGUAGAUAUCGAGAGGAACACCUGCGGCGAAGGCGGGUAGCUGGGCCGACACUGACGCUGAGGCGCGAAAGCCAGGGGAGCGAACGGG